GUGGGGAAUAUUGGACAAUGGGCGCAAGCCUGAUCCAGCCAUUCCGCGUGCAGGAUGAAGGCCUUCGGGUUGUAAACUGCUUUUGUACGGAACGAAAAGCCUCUGGUUAAUACCCGGGGGUCAUGACGGUACCGUAAGAAUAAGCACCGGCUAACUACGUGCCAGCAGCCGCGGUAAUACGUAGGGUGCGAGCGUUAAUCGGAAUUACUGGGCGUAAAGCGUGCGCAGGCGGUGAUGUAAGACAGUUGUGAAAUCCCCGGGCUCAACCUGGGAACUGCAUCUGUGACUGCAUUGCUGGAGUGCGGCAGAGGGGGAUGGAAUUCCGCGUGUAGCAGUGAAAUGCGUAGAUAUGCGGAGGAACACCGAUGGCGAAGGCAAUCCCCUGGGCCUGCACUGACGCUCAUGCACGAAAGCGUGGGGAGCAAACAGGAUUAGAUACCCUAGUAGUCC
rnacentral:rRNA from 1 species